rnacentral:rRNA from 1 species
AUUGAACGCUGGCGGCAUGCUUUACACAUGCAAGUCGAACGGUAACAGGUUAAGCUGACGAGUGGCGAACGGGUGAGUAAUGCAUCGGAACGUGCCCGAUCGUGGGGGAUAACACUUCGAAAGAAGUGCUAGUACCGCAUACGAUCUGAGGAUGAAAGCGGGGGACCGUAAGGCCUCGCGCGAUCGGAGCGGCCGAUGUCAGAUUAGGUAGUUGGUGGGGUAAAGGCUCACCAAGCCGACGAUCUGUAGCUGGUCUGAGAGGACGACCAGCCACACUGGGACUGAGACACGGCCCAGACUCCUACAGAAGGCAGCAGUGGGGAAUUUUGGACAAUGGGCGCAAGCCUGAUCCAGCAAUGCCGCGUGCAGGAAGAAGGCCUUCGGGUUGUAAACUGCUUUUGUACGGAGCGAAAAGGCUCCCUCUAAUACAGGGGGCUCAUGACGGUACCGUAAGAAUAAGCACCGGCUAACUACGUGCCAGCAGCCGCCGUAA